rnacentral:rRNA from 1 species
CGAAGGGGGCUAGCGUUGCUCGGAAUCACUGGGCGUAAAGCGCACGUAGGCGGAUCUUUAAGUCAGGGGUGAAAUCCUGGAGCUCAACUCCAGAACUGCCUUUGAUACUGGGGAUCUCGAGUCCGGAAGAGGUGAGUGGAACUCCGAGUGUAGAGGUGAAAUUCGUAGAUAUUCGGAAGAACACCAGUGGCGAAGGCGGCUCACUGGUCCGGUACUGACGCUGAUGUGCGAAAGCGUGGGGAGCAAACAGGAUUAGAUACCCUGGUAGUCCACGCCGUAAACGAUGGAUGCUAGCCGUUGGCGGGUUUACCCGUCAGUGGCGCAGCUAACGCAUUAAGCAUCCCGCCUGGGGAGUACGGUCGCAAGAUUA